UACGUAGGGCGCAAGCGUUGUCCGGAAUUAUUGGGCGUAAAGAGCUCGUAGGCGGUGUGUCGCGUCGGCCGUGAAAACCUGCAGCUUAACUGUGGGCUUGCGGUCGAUACGGGCAUCACUGGAGUUCGGCAGGGGAGACUGGAAUUCCUGGUGUAGCGGUGAAAUGCGCAGAUAUCAGGAGGAACACCGGUGGCGAAGGCAGCUCUCUGGGUCCCUACCGACGCUGGGGGUGCGAAAAGCAUGGGGGAGCGAACAGG
rnacentral:rRNA from 1 species